rnacentral:rRNA from 1 species
AGCCGAUACAUGCGAGUCAGUUGACAACACAGUGAGUAAACCUAAAAUCAUUCUUAAAGACAUGAAUUUUUAUUCCAAGUAUCAGAAAAUUUCAAAAAAUUCCAAAACACUUAGACCACCACACCUGCAGUACCUAAAAUUGUACAAUAAGUAAAAGCUUGAUACAGCUAUAGAAAUAAAGAGUUGGUUAAUUAUGUGCCAGCCACCGCGGUUAUACAUAAAACUCAAACCAAGAAAACUUCAUCGGUCUAAAGGUGAUCAGGGGUUCCCCUUCUUUUAAGGUGGAAAACAACUCUAGUACUAAUAAGCUUUCACAGUAAACUAACAAUACUUAAUCUUACCUUAAACAAUACCCCACAACACAAAAGCUCAAAAAUAAACUGGGAUUAGAUACCCCACUAUAUGAGCCGUAAAAAAUCAAAAACACCAGAGAACUACGAACUAAAGUUUAAAACUCAAAGGACUUGGCGGUUUUUUAGAUCUUCCUGGAGGAGCUUGCUAUCCAACCGAUAACCCACGAAAAACCUUACCAGCA